AUAAACAAUCGACGCAUGCGCAGAAAUGGAAUGUUCGAAAUUUGGAAAGGAAAAUUUGUAUAGGAGAACAAAUUAGCGAAAAUAAGUCAUUCCACGUGAUGACAGUCACUAUCAGCGGUCUAAAUCAAAAGGGAAUAAUGAAAACUUACUUCAGUGCCAUGUGUGAAGUGACAGUAAAGCAGAAUAGCUACAGACCAUGAAUUGAGAAAUGAAGAUAUGCAGAUGUAAAUGUAUAACAUGGUGUAUGUGGGAAACAUAGCGGACAGGAGGCAAGUAAGAUAAUGUGAAGUAACAGUAAUGCAGACUGACUAGAGACCAUUAACUUCAGAACUGAAGAGGUGCAGGUCUUUAUAUGGCGAAUGAUGGAACCAUGGUGGAGUUUUGGAUUUAUAAGGUGUGAAGUUACAGGAAAGCAGAAUAACUACAAACCAUGAUAUUUAGAAAUGAAGAGAUGCAUGUCUUUGUUCAGUAAGGUGUAUAUGGGAAACAUUGUGGAUGGCAGACAUGAAAUGAUUUAUGCGAAGUAAUAGAAAAGCAGAAUGGCUACAGACUUUCAAUUCAGAAUUGAAGAGAUGCAGGUCUUUGUUCUAUAUGGUGUAUGAGGGAACCAUGGCGAAAAUUUGGAUUUCAUGAUAGUUAUAGAAAUAUCUAAUAAGUCUAUAGGACAGUGACGUGUGUACCAGUUUGUCAGGCUAUCACAUGUCUGUGCAGGUGACAAAUUCGCUAUGGACGCGUAGGUUCUCAAAUGAUUUGGCCGAACUUUUCACAGUCAUAAAGACAGAUAUGAAAAGGUUUUAGGUCUAUAGGACAGUUAUGUGACAGUGUGUAUAAUUCUGUAAGGCUAUCACAUGUUUGUCCAGUCAACAAAAUUGCAGUGGGUGCAUAGAAUCUCAAAUAACAGGGGAGAACUUUUCACAGUCUCAAAGACAGACAUCAAAAGAUUACAGGAAAGAGAAAAAGGAAAAUGACCUCAGGAAGUUCCUAAGGACAAGAAUGUCUGUGAUUCAUGGAAACUUCAGAGUUCAGCAGCUUCUUGAAACAGUCCAUAGACAGAUAGUAGGAGGACUUUGGUUGAGUGUUGAGGGAGGUUCUGAGCACAAGCCUCUGGCACAAGCCAUGCUAUCUAGAUAUAUUUCCGGCCAGGCAGCUGCGAAAACCAGACAACUCUUUAUAUCAGAGAAUCUGUACAAAAGUUGAAUGAUGUAAACUUAGAGACCUACACAAAUGAUCAGGUGACGGAAGCAUUGAAAACAGCGGGAGGUGUCGUUACAUUGACUAUCCAGUAUUUCAAAGCAGCUGGUUUGUUCCUUAACAAAUCUUCCGACCAUUGUAAGUAUACUGCUUUAAACUUGAAAUUGUUAUUUAUAAAAGCUUCACUAGAAGAAACAAUCUCCAUAACUCUUGUUUUGAAUUUUGACAGAGUAAUAGUCCUUUAUAACUUAGAAUUAUUUUGUUAGAGUUUUAAUAUAAUGACCAAUAUCUGUUACUGUCAAAACUUAAAUUUAGAAUAUUUAUUUACUAUCAAAGUCUACAUCAGAAGAAAGAAUCAUCAUAACUCUGAUUAUAUAUUUGAGUUAAGCACUUUUUACUGGCAAAGCUCUUAUUCAGAGUCAAGCACUGAGAAAAGUCCAAUGUGCUGUAUUACGGACAGUUCUGUUACAUGUGAUGUGAUAGUUAAUUCAGGAAAAAAAUUGCACACUCUUCAGUUUUAUUUUUAGAAUAUUUUGUAAUACUAUAUUUUUGUUAUGCCCCCAAAGGGAGGCAUAUUAGUUAUCAACUGUCGGUCCGUUCAUUAGUUUGUUCCUUCGUUCGUCACAACGUUAACUUUUUGCAUGAAGGCACUUUACUCGCGAACCACUGCACCCAGGACCUUCAAACUUCACAUGCUGAUAGUGCUUAUUAAGUACAUGACCCCUACUGACUUUAGGGUCACCAGGUUAAAGUUCAAGGUCACAAGGGCCAAUGUUAACUUUUUGCAUGAAGGCACUUCACUCACGAACCACUGCACCCAGGACCUUCAAACUUCACUUGAUGAUAGUACUUAUGGAGUACACAACCUCUAUUGACUUUGGGGUCACCAGGUCAAAAGUCAAGGUCACCAGGUCGAAGGUCAAGGUGCUGCGGGGAAAUUUGUUACCAUUAGUGACAGCUCUUGUUAUGUUUUACUUUUCAGCAUCCUUAAAUGCAAAUGAAAGAAUGACUUCACCUCCUGGCGUGAUUUUACCAAGACUUGAGACAGUGUGUUGUCUACUCAUCAAUACCACUGUUAUAUGCAUACAUUACACGAUAUGUCGAUCAGACAGAUCAACUCAAUUGAGCUUGUGGGAGUUAAUGGGAAGUGUGUUACAUUUUGAUGAUAGCCACUCACUGGCAGAAUGGGUCGCAACAAUCACCAAUAAUAUCCUUAGUCUUCUCAAUCAGAUGAUUCAGUAUAUGUGUUGGACAUAAGAGAGGGGGAGUCCUUGCAACAGCACAGAUGGUUGGAGACCCAAGUUCGUUGCCACGAAAGGUCAAGAUACAGACUUGUUUGAUGUACCUCCUGUAAGUUUAUACAGUUGAACCUUGUUUUCUCAAACUGGGAAAAAUUCAGUCACUAUCAUUCACCUGAACUUAUUGCCAGGUUCUUGCAAAUUACCUAUAUAUUGUAUAUUGUUCCAGUGCUCGGAAUUAACUUGAACUAGAACUAAUUCUGCUUGUCCCGUCAAGUCGGGGCAAGACAUUAGUUUUUCAUCAAAUUCAAGAUAAUAUAUACUUGUUAAUUAUGCCCUGUUUAAGAAUAGUUUCAAAUUUUAAACAUCAUGGUUGUUUUUUUUCCCCUUUAAAUAAAAAACAAUGUAUCUGAGUUUAAGUGUAAAAACUGUUCUCAUAUGCAAAAAUAUCAAGACGAUAUUUAUUCAAAAAGUUUAUUAUUAUGAUAUACCUGUAUAAAUUCUGUCAAACAUCCAGCUUGUGUUUUGCAAUUAAAUAAGAACAGGCAGAAAAAAAAACUUAUUGUACCUUUUGUAUUUCAUGUUGCCAGACUAUCAUUUAUUAUGUAUGACCUGCAACAUUUCUGUAGAUAGUGCAUACACAGUUCUAUUUUAACAUUAUGGAUAAACUGUUAAAACACUGAAGAUUUAGUUCGAUAACAAGACAACAAACAGGACUUUAAACCCAACAAAAUAAAAUAAAAGAAAGGUGGAGGUUCGUAUAUAAUAAAAGCUUCAUUAUAACAAUAGCUAGAUCUGGCAUUUGUAUUCUACUCUCGUGGAUUUUGCUAGGUCAGAAAACACUCGACGCUUGCACGUGCCUUGUUUCAUAUUCAACCUUGCUUUUAAAUUCACUUAUGCCAAAUACUCUAUCCCAGAUCAAGCUACUAUUUUAAUAACCCUGUUAUAUAAAUUGUUGGUCCAUAGUUUGUGCUGUUGGCCAGUCUAUAUAUAGUUCAACAAUAAAGUUUGCUUGGCUAAAGUCAAAAUUAGUUGUAUAAUACUAGUAUCAGUGGUUCAUAAUCACACACAUUUUAACUGACAAAUAAGUCAAGCAUUUAAAAAUGGAAGUGUGACAAUUUCUUGUUGUAUUAGGCGUAAAAAAAAAUUGUUUGUUUCCGGUAUCCCUACCUACCCAAAAUUUUUGGCCCGACCCAAAAUGUUUUUAUGGCCUUGGAAAAUAAUUUUUUCAACUUUUUGACAAAAAGUUGCCAAACUGCACUUUUUAUGCUUUAAACAUGGUCAUUGAUGUUAAAAAUCAACUUCCUGAUGCUCUAAAGGCAUAACCCCCUUAUUUAUAUAAAUUUUUUGACAUAAAAAUAAUUUCCGAAAAGUCUCCCUUAAUAAAAAAAAAAUUCAAAAAAAAAAAAAAAAAAAUUCCGACCUACCUACCCAAAUUUUUUUGAGCAUGUUACCGGAAACAAAGAAUUUUUUUAGGCCUUAUAGAACACUUUAUGAAUGGCUUGCCAAUCUGUAGUCAAAAUUAUUGACCUUUUGACCUCAGACUAUUGACUAUUAAGUAAUUCAGUAGGUAUGUACUAUUGACCUUUUCACCUCAGACAAUAGUUUUAACUGUUGACUAGCAAGUAAUUCAGUAGGUAUGUACUAUUGACCUUUGGACCUCAGACAAUAGUUUUGACUAUUGACUAGCAAGUAAUUCAGUAGGUAUGUACUAUUGACCUUUGGUCCUCAGACAAUAGUAUUGACUAGCAAGUAAUUCAGUAGAUAUGUACUAUUGACCUUUUGACCUCAGAUAAUAGUUUUGACUAUUGACUAGCAAAUAAUUCAGUAGGUAGGUACUAUUGACAUUUUGACCUCAGACAAUAGUUUUGACUGUUGACUAGCAAGUAAUUCAGUAGGUAUGUACUAUUGACCUUUGGACCUCAGACAAUAGUUUUGACUAUUGACUAGGAAGUUAUUCUGUAGGUAUGUACUAUUGACCUUUUCACCUCAGACAAUAGUAUUGACUAGCAAGUAAUUCAGUAGGUAUGUACUAUUGACCUUUGGACCUCAGACAAUAGUUUUGACUAUUGACUAGCAAGUAAUUCAGUAGGUAUGUACUAUUGACCUUUGGAUCUCAGACAUUAGUUUUGACUAUUGACUAGCAAGUAAUUCAGUAGGUAUGUACUGUUGACCUUUGGACCUCAGACAAUAGUUUUGACUAUUGACUAGCAAGUAAUUCUGUAGGUAUGUACUAUUGACCUUUUGACCUCAGACAAUAGUUUUGACUAUUGACUAGCAAGUAAUUCAGUAGGUAUGUGCUAUUGACCUUUGGACCUCAGACAAUAGUUUUGACUAUUGACUAGGAAGUUAUUCUGUAGGUAUGUACUAUUGACCUUUUCACCUCAGACAAUAGUAUUGACUAGCAAGUAAUUCAGUAGGUAUGUACUAUUGACCUUUGGACCUCAGACAAUAGUUUUGACUAUUGACUAGCAAGUAAUUCAGUAGGUAUGUACUAUUGACCUUUGGAUCUCAGACAUUAGUUUUGACUAUUGACUAGCAAGUAAUUCAGUAGGUAUGUACUGUUGACCUUUGGACCUCAGACAAUAGUUUUGACUAUUGACUAGCAAGUAAUUCUGUAGGUAUGUACUAUUGACCUUUUGACCUCAGACAAUAGUUUUGACUAUUGACUAGCAAGUAAUUCAGUAGGUAUGUACUAUUGACCUUUGGUCCUCAGACAAUAGUUUUGACUAUUGACUAGCAAGUAACUCAGUAAGUAUGUACUAUUGACCUUUGGACCUCAGACAAUAAUUUUGACUAUUGACUAGCAAGUAAUUCUGUAGGUAUGUACUAUUGACCUUUUGACCUGAGACAAUAGUUUUGACUAUUGACUAGUAGUAAUUCAGUAGGUAUGUACUUUUGACCUCAGACAAUAAUUUUGACUAUUGACUAGCAAGUAAUUCAGUAGGUAUGUACUAAUGACCUUUGGUCCGCAGACAAUAGUUUUGACUAUUGACUAGCAAGUAAUUCAGUAGAUAUGUACUUUUGACCUCAGACAAUAGUUUUUUGACUAUUGACUAUCAAGUAAUUCAGUAGGUAUGUACUAUUGACCUUUGGACCUCAGACAAUAGUUUUGAUUAUUGACUAGCAAGUAAUUCAAUAGGUAUGUACUAUUGACUUUUCACCUCAGACAAUAGUAUUGACUAGCAAGUAAUUCAGUGGGUAUGUACUAUUGACCUUUGGACCUCAGACAAUAGUUUUGACUAUUGACUAGCAAGUAAUUCAGUAGGUAUGUACUAUUGACCUUUGGAUCUCAGACAUUAGUUUUGACUAUUGACUAGCAAGUAAUUUAGUAGGUAUUUACUGUUGACCUUUGGACCUCAGACAAUAGUUUUGACUAUUGACUAGCAAGUAAUUCUGUAGGUAUGUACUAUUGACCUUUUGACCUCAGACAAUAGUUUUGACUAUUGACUAGCAAGUAAUUCAGUAGGUAUGUACUAUUGACCUUUGGUCCUCAGACAAUAGUUUUGACUAUUGACUAGCAAGUAACUCAGUAAGUAUGUACUAUUGACCUUUGGACCUCAGACAAUAAUUUUGACUAUUGACUAGCAAGUAAUUCUGUAGGUAUGUACUAUUGACCUUUUGACCUGAGACAAUAGUUUUGACUAUUGACUAGCAAGUAAUUCAGUAGGUAUGUACUUUUGACCUCAGACAAUAAUUUUGACUAUUGACUAGCAAGUAAUUCAGUAGGUAUGUACUAAUGACCUUUGGUCCGAAGACAAUAGUUUUGACUAUUGACUAGCAAGUAAUUCAGUAGAUAUGUACUUUUGACCUCAGACAAUAGUUUUGACUAUUGACUAGCAAGUGAUUCAGUAGGUAUGUACUUUUGACCUUUGGUCCUCUGGCAAUACUGUACAACUAUCAACCCUAAGUGGUCAAAGAUUUAAAUCAUACAGCCAUAUGAAUUACUGUAGAGCCACAUCAGAAAACUAUUCACUGAGACAAAGGCAAGGGAUACUGAUGAUAAUUAGUAGUCAUUUUCCAAGGUCACCACUUUAAAGGUCAAAAGUUGUUUUAUUAUAUUGAACAACAGGAGAAAGAAUUACAAAGGAAGAACAUUUUAUGUUUUUAGUGCCACCUUGAUAUUUUGAAUGUUGAAGUUACGUCAUUUCCAUUAUUGUUUUGGUUUCCAGGCAGUAUGUUGGUAAAAUUAAUGGUACUAAAAUUAUUAUUGUUACGGAUAAACCUCCACAACGGAGUGCUGUGUAUGCACAUAACAUAACCCUGAGAAUACAGCACCUACACCUAAGCUAACCAUGCCUGUAACCUACACAAUACGAUGCAUAGUGCGACAUCUAAGGAAUUCGAAAUUUCUCGUGGUGACAUAGAUACAGCGUUCAAACACAGAACAGUGAAAGUAUUGUUGGGCACGUCAGGGAAAAUACUUCGGGUGUUUAUAUAACAGAAAUGACAAUACGUUUAAGUUGAAGUUACUGCUAUAUCUAUUUUUAGCUCACAAAGGUGAGCUUUUGUGAUCGCCCUGUGUCCGUUGUCCGUUGUCAACAGUUUGACUGUUAACACUCUAGAGGUCACAUUUUUGGCCCAAUCUUAAUGAAACUUGGUCAGAAUUUUACCCUCAAUAAAAUCUUACAUGAGUUUGAUAUUGGGUCAUCUGAGGUCAAAAACUAGGUCACCAGGUCAAAUCAAAGGAAAAGCUUGUUAACACUCUAGAGGCCAUAUUUAUGACUGAUUCUUUAUGAAACUUAGUCAGAAUGUUAACCUUGAUGAUUUACAGGACAAGUUUAAAUCUGGGUCAUGUCGGGUCAAAAACUAGGUCACCGGGUCAAAUCGAAGGAAAAGCUAGUUAACAAUUCGGAGGCCACAUUUAUGACCAUAUCUUGAUAAAACUUGGUCGGAAUUUUAAUCUUGAUGAUCCUUAGGUCAAUAGGUAGGUGAGCGAUACAGGGCCUUCAUGACUCUCUUGUUAUAAUAUAGGUCAGGUUUAAAUCUGGGUUAGGUGGGGUCAAAAACUAGAUCAUUAGGUCAAAUCAAAUGAAAAGCUUGUUAACAAUCUGGAGGCCACAUUUAUGACCAUAUGUUAAUGAAACUAUCUUGAUCUUUAGGUCAAUAGGUCAGGUGAACGAUACAGGGCCUUCAUGGCCCUCUUGUUAUAACAAAAGGAUUCAACGGAAUUGACGGACUAUAUAGGUGAACUACAGUUAACAUUCAAAGAUUGCUAUAUAUGGUUGUACGUAUUUGGUAAUACUGAAAAUCCGUUAGAAGUUAUAAUAAAAUG